AUGAUUAGGGUUCAAGUUAUGGCUAUUCGGAUUUCACGAACAAGAAUCUCCCUCCUUCACUCUUGCGUCGCGGCCAUGUACAGAUCCUCCGUCUUCAAUUUCUCAGUCCGUCUCAAUCUCUUAAACAUAGCGGCGGAGCCUUCAUCUCACUUCUUCAGAUUUACGACGACACCGCCACAAACCUUCGUUCAUCCCCAUUUUUCUUGA